CUUCUUGCUUUGCCAGUGCAUAUACUAAAACUAGAAAACUACAAAGAAGAUUAGCAUGGCUUCUGUGCAUGGAAGACAUGCAAAGUAUUGAAGCCUUCCAUGAUUUC
ensembl:snRNA U6 U6 spliceosomal RNA